ACUCCUACGGGAGGCAGCAGUGGGGAAUAUUGCACAAUGGGCGAAAGCCUGAUGCAGCGACGCCGCGUGAGGGAUGACGGCCUUCGGGUUGUAAACCUCUUUCAGUCAGGAACAAGCCACUUGUGGUGAGGGUACUGGCAGAAGAAGCACCGGCUAACUACGUGCCAGCAGCCGCGGUAAUACGUAGGGUGCGAGCGUUAUCCGGAAUUAUUGGGCGUAAAGAGCUUGUAGGCGGUUUGUCGCGUCUGCUGUGAAAGCCCGGGGCUUAACUCCGGGUCUGCAGUGGGUACGGGCAGGCUAGAGUGAUGUAGGGGUAACUGGAAUUCCUGGUGUAGCGGUGGAAUGCGCAGAUAUCAGGAAGAACACCGAUGGCGAAGGCAGGUUACUGGGCAUUUACUGACGCUGAGAAGCGAAAGCAUGGGGAGCGAACAGGAUUAGAUACCCUGGUAGCGUCGUCU
rnacentral:rRNA from 1 species